AGGUCCAACCUGCCCAGUGAAAACUUAAACGGCCGCGGUAUCCUAACCGUGCAAAGGUAGCGCAAUCACUUGCCCCUUAAAUGAGGGCUAGUAUGAACGGUUUAAUGAGGGUCUAACUGUCUCCUGAGACUAAUCAAUGAACUUGAUAAUUCAGUACAAACGCUGAAAUAUAAACAUAAGACGAGAAGACCCUGUGGAACUUCAAAUUUCACUGUUGAAUACCUGAUAACUUAAAGGCUACCUCAACAUAAAAUUUAAGUUGGGGCAACUGCGGGGCAAAACAAAACCCCCAUGGAAAAUAACUAAUAGUUAUACCACUAGGCCCACACGCCACACAUCAUUGUUCGACCCAGUCCUACUGACCACCGAACCAAGCUACCCCAGGGAUAACAGCGCUAUCCCCUUCAAGAGUCCAUAUCGCCAAGGGGGUUUACGACCUCGAUGUUGGAUCAGGACAUCCCGG
rnacentral:rRNA from 1 species